CUGCGAAUGGCUCAUUAUAUAAGUUAUCGUUUAUUUGAUAGUACCUUACUACUUGGAUAACCGUGGUAAUUCUAGAGCUAAUACAUGCUAAAAAUCCCGACUUCGGAAGGGAUGUAUUUAUUAGAUUAAAAACCAAUGCCCUCUGGGCUCCUUGGUGAUUCAUGAUAACUCUUCGAAUCGCACGGCCUUGCGCCGGCGAUGGUUCAUUCAAAUUUCUUCCCUAUCAACUUUCGAUGUUUGGGUAUUGGCCAAACAUGGUUGCAACGGGUAACGGAGGGUUAGGGCUCGACCCCGGAGAAGGAGCCUGAGAAACGGCUACUACAUCCAAGGAAGGCAGCAGGCGCGCAAAUUACCCAAUCCCGAUUCGGGGAGGUAGUGACAAUAAAUACUGAUACAGGGCUCUUUUGGGUCUUGUAAUUGGAAUGAGUACAAUUUAAAUCCCUUAACGAGGAACAAUUGGAGGGCAAGUCUGGUGCCAGCAGCCGCGGUAAUUCCAGCUCCAAUAGCGUAUAUUAAAGUUGUUGUGGUUAAAAAGCUCGUAGUUGAACCUUGGGCCUGGCUGGCCGGUCCGCCUCACCGCGUGCACUGGUCCGGCCGGGCCUUUCCCUCUGUGGAACCCCAUGCCCUUCACUGGGCGUGGCGGGGAAACAGGACUUUUACUUUGAAAAAAUUAGAGUGCUCCAGGCAGGCCUAUGCUCGAAUACAUUAGCAUGGAAUAAUGAAAUAGGACGCGUGGUUCUAUUUUGUUGGUUUCUAGGACCGCCGUAAUGAUUAAUAGGGACAGUCGGGGGCAUCAGUAUUCGAUCGUCAGAGGUGAAAUUCUUGGAUUGAUUGAAGACUAACUACUGCGAAAGCAUUUGCCAAGGAUGUUUUCAUUAAUCAGGAACGAAAGUUAGGGGAUCGAAGACGAUCAGAUACCGUCGUAGUCUUAACCAUAAACUAUGCCGACUAGGGAUCGGACGAUGUUA
rnacentral:rRNA from 1 species